rnacentral:tRNA from 1 species
AAGAUGUGUAAGCCGAAUAAAAGCUGCUAACUUAUUAUUCAAGUGGUUAAAAUCCAUUUACAUCUUGA